UUUAAGAAACUACAUAAUUUAACAAUGAAGUGUAGAUAAUCACUACAACAAAGUGAAGUAAUUGUCACUUAAGGUUCUUAUUUUAAUACUUUUCCAUAAAACUUGUGUAGAAUUUGGAAAUAUCUUGUCUUGAAAAGAAUUUGGAUAUGAGACUCGGUGUAGUCACCAAAGAAACUAAACCUGGUCUAACUGGUUGUUGAGAUCAUCUGCACUUUGGUCAGGAAAUUAUCUCCUAAUCCUAAUAGUGCUGCUAUAAUGGCCAUGGGUGUUAACAUCUUGGCAAAGAGAUUGAAAUGAUUGGGGUUCUUGAUUGAGUUGCU